rnacentral:rRNA from 1 species
AUUGAACGCUGGCGGCAGGCCUAACACAUGCAAGUCGAGCGAGCGGCGGACGGGUGAGUAAUGUCUGGGAAUCUGCCCGAUGGAGGGGGAUAACUACUGGAAACGGUAGCUAAUACCGCAUACCAUCAGAUGUACCCAGAUGGGAUUAGCUAGUAGGUGGGGUAAAGGCUCACCUAGGCGACGAUCCCUAGCUGGUCUGAGAGGAUGAUCAGCCACACUGGAACUGAGACACGGUCCAGACUCCUACGGGAGGCAGCAGUGGGGAAUAGUGCACAAUGGGCGCAAGCCUGAUGCAGCCAUGCCGCGUGUAUGAAGAAGGCCUUCGGGUUGUAAAGCUCUUUCAGCGGGGAGGCGUUACUCGCAGAAGAAGCACCGGCUAACUCCGUGCCAGCAGCCGCGGUAAUUC